ACAUUUAAAUUACAAUUGAUCAGUGAUGAAAAUGUACUUUUGUUCAGUUGAACACAUUAAAGUGAAAACUAUUUUUCUGUGAAAUAUAUUUUCUGUGAAAUAUAUUUGCUCUGUUUAUGGUAUAUGUAUAUCUCUGUUUUAAAUCUUAGGUUGCAAAGUAAAGAUCUGUGGCAUCUACAUGAACUGCAAACUCAUGGCAUCUGGAUUUUCAUACCUAAGGUCUUGUCCAUCUCUUCAAGUUGAAAAGACUGCAGAGCUUGAAUCCCCUGCAACAUUAUGCUUCAUAUGAAACAUCAGCCAGCCUACAGAUUCAAGCUCCCUUUUCCAGCUCUAAGCAAGAGGGACCACAAUGCUA